rnacentral:rRNA from 1 species
UACGAAGGGGGCUAGCGUUGCUCGGAAUCACUGGGCGUAAAGGGUGCGUAGGCGGGUCUGUAAGUUAGAGGUGAAAGCCCGGGGCUCAACCCCGGAAUUGCCUUUAAGACUGCAUCGCUUGAAUCCGGGAGAGGUGAGUGGAAUUCCGAGUGUAGAGGUGAAAUUCGUAGAUAUUCGGAAGAACACCAGUGGCGAAGGCGGCUCACUGGACCGGCAUUGACGCUGAGGUGCGAAAGCGUGGGGAGCAAACAGG